AGUGAACGCUGGCGGUAGGCCUAACACAUGCAAGUCGAACGGCAGCACAGUACUAGCUUGCUCUUACGGGUGGCGAGUGGCGGACGGGUGAGGAGUACAUCGGAAUCUACUUUUUCGUGGGGGAUAACGCCGGGAAACUUACGCUAAUACCGCAUACGACCUACGGGUGAAAGCAGGGGAUCUUCGGACCUUGCGCGAUUGAAUGAGCCGAUGUCGGAUUAGCUAGUUGGCGGGGUAAAGGCCCACCAAGGCGACGAUCCGUCGCAGGUCUGAGAGGAUGAUCAGCCACACUGGAACUGAGACAAGGUCCAGACUCCUACGGGAGGCAGCAUUGUGGAAUAUUGGACAAUGGGCGCAAGCCUGAUACAGCCACACCGCGUGUGUGAAGAAGGCCUUCGGGUUGUAAAGCCCUUUUGUUGGGAAAGAAAAGCAGCAGGUGAAUACCCCGCUGUUCUGACGGUACCCAAAGAAUAAGCACCGGCUAACUUCGUG
rnacentral:rRNA from 1 species